rnacentral:lncRNA from 1 species
AAGAGCUUGCUCACCCCAGGGAUAAAGGGGCUCCUUGACUGUUGCAAGUCCCUCUGUCAGGUUAAUCUGUGUUUCUUUUCCUGAUAAAGGCAGGAUGUGACCUGCUUUUCUACUUUUAGAACCUCUGGGUCAGCCAGGUCUAUGUAUGGUUUAGGCCAGUGGAGCCCUGUUGCCUGCUGCCUUCUUGUGGCCGGAAUGGAGGAACAAUGCAAGGGAAGCCCAAGAGCCUUCCUCUUCAGUUCCCCUGAGGAUUGGGAAGCAGCCCUAGGAGAUCUGGCAGCACCAGGCCAACGCCCAGCUGGAGUCAGCAGGUCAGUGUCUCCGCAGCCAGGUGCUACAAAGGUCAUUCACUCCAGCAGUUCCCAAACCCAGGGACUCAAGAGGACUCACCUGUGUGGUCUGGUCUCAUUCAGGAGAGUAGCCCGGGAUUGUGCUGCAGUGCAGCAGGACCCUUUAACAAUGGCCUCAAGUGAUUGUGAUGUAACUAGCACUUGGCACACAGUUUCACACUCCUUGGCACCUUUCUACAGACACAGAGAUGAGGGGCUCCACCCAGGGUCCCCCAGCUAGCAAGUGGCUAAGCUCUUCUCAUUCCAGACACCCUUAAGUUGGUCUUCAUUUCCGGAACCUUUUGCUCCGGAAGCUGGAACUCCGGUGACUUGGGGACUUGUCUUUGAGGUGCUCAUUCCAGGCCAGAUCAAAAACAACCAAACUUCCCAAAUAGAAAAUGGUAAUUGUCAGGCUCUGUGGGUUGCAAAUGCCCUGUGCAAAUUCAGGGCAUGUAGCACUCUUGCCAACACCAACAAGGCGGGCAAGGGGCAGGUCAGAAAGGCUUGAGGGGACGACAGGAUGACAGUGCUAUGAGAUGUGAUGUGAAUGAAGGUCAGGAGCACAUGUGCCCAUCUUGAGGGGAAUCCUAGGUGGGAGGUCACGGGUACAGAAUUUCAAGGCCAGCUUAUAUUCUGUGAGGCCCUAGAUACAAGGGUUGGGUGGGGGUGGAAGCUGGUUAACUUUUUGGCAUUGUUUUUUGAAACGUAAGGGUCCCAGAAAGGCAUUUCCCCAUCUCCCUUGCUUCUGAGAUACACAGGGUUUUCGGUGUUUUGUUUUGUUUUCCCUUUUUAACAUUUCAAGGGAAGCCUUCUUUCAUUGAGCCCACUAAGCACAUUCUGGAUCCACCUGAGCUACAAGGAAAGCCAGGAUGGCUUAUGGAGACCACAGGAGAGGGAGAGGAGAAAGCUGUGUGUCAGGCUUGUGAUGUGCAGCCACUCCUGCCUCAGCCACCCAAGGGUAGGGACUGCAAGCACACGUCACCACACCCAGCAGCAAACCUUUUGUAGAUCUCUAGAGUGUGGCUCUUGUUGAGUAUCAAAGCACAACAGGGAUGUCUGUUUUCCUUUCCUUUGGUUUUAGUUUUAGUUUUUUGAAACAGGGUUUCUUUGUGUAGUCCUGGCUGUCCUGGAACUCAAUCUUGAACUCAGAGUACUGAGAUGAAAGGCAUGUAUGUCUGUCUGCCUGGGUAGGUGUAUCUGUUUUCUUACCAUUAGUUCUUUGGAGCUGGUAGGGUCUGUUCAUCCCUCUCUGGUCACUCUUUUAAAAGCUCUCACCUGGUAACAUCAUGGGAUGUAUGUUGGAGGGAUUAACUUGUAUUUUCCUUUAUUGCAAACGGAGCAGGUGCUCCUUGUGAGGUGGAGAAGCAGCAUGAAGUCAACUGCGUUUUAAAUUCCUGACUAAGAGAGGCUGCCAAAGGACGGGAGGAGGGCAGGGGAGGGAUGUGUUUAAAGUCAAGCACAGGGGAGUGUACCGAGCUCCUGUGAAUUAAGAGAAACUCAAACUAGCUUAAGGUGGGGGGUGGGGGUGAGGAGGUUUUGGCCAAAUGGUCUCCAUGCCUGAGCUCUCUUCUGGGAUGGCUCAAUUCUCAGGUCAAGGCUCCUCAGGUUUGGCAGGGAUAUCCGGGCCCAGCAGCACCAAUUUCUGCCCCCAUAACCUAGCAACUGAUAGAGCUUUCUUCCCAGGAGCUCCAACCAAGUCCUAAGCUUGGCUCCUUGGUCACACGCUACCAUGUUCCCUGAACCAACUACGUGACUGACUGUGGCUGCUGUUUAGCUCUGCAGGCAGGUGGGCUCAGGCACUAAGCCAUAUGAAGAAAGGGGCAGGUUUUCCAAAGUUUUGCUUUUUGUCUUUGUGUUUUAUGCAUGCACACAUGGGUGUUCAGAGGCUAGAGGAGAGGGUCAGGUGUCUUCGUCUAUCAUUCUCUACUUUCUUUUAAGUCUAGCAGUCCUCCUGUCCAUCCCCCAUAGCACCAGAGUUUACAGGCUUGCACAAGAGCACACUUGGUUUGUUUUGUGGGCACUGAGAUCUGAACUCAGGUUCCUGUGGUAGCACAACAAGCCAGUUAACCAGAGCCAACCCUUCUCACCUUGAUCUUUGCUUUUCUCCAGAAGACAGAUAUCAAGAAACCAGACUGUGAAAAUUAGAAGUAGUAGAGGCCUGCUUCAUGCUUGGUAGCAAUACCUUGGUGAGAUGGUAAGACCUAAAAGGAGAUGAGAUGGGUCACUGGUACCCAUGGGAAUUCCUAGCUCACCAGUUUGUCAUACCCCACAUGUGGGGUGGACACAGGAAGGCCACUGUGACACUCAGCAUGAGACACCUGAAGUCCUAUUAGCAUAUGUGUGGACAGAGGACAAAUAGAUCCUUUAUUUGGUUACCUUAGUAACUAAUGUUUCCUACCUCCAAGGAAGAAGAAUGCGGUUGGUUUUUAAGUGCCCCUGGAGGAAAAUGGGGAGCAACUUGUUUGGUGAUACCUCCCUGGGGGUUCAAAUCUUGAAAACGUGCUAGAAACCAAUGGGUGGUGGUCUUAGUUUCACCAAUUAGAGAUGCCAACCCUGUGUGAUUCCAUUGAAUAUGAGUGCAAAGAUGAGCCUUGACAAGAAAGAAACUGAGCGAUUAAAGACAAUUUUCAGUACAUUUUCCCAUUUUUUCCCUUUGAACAAAGAAGAUAAUAUUCAGCAGGUGCUCUCCGUAAGGAGCAGCUCUUAAAUAAGGUCCUUUUGUGAUUCUCUGCAUUCUGCAUCUAGAAACAAACCAUGGAUUUAGCUUCUAAUGCCAGAGCCAAUGAAAUCAUGCAACACGGAGGAGCUAAUUUUGUUUCCUUUAGACUGGCCAAGUUGGCAAGGCAUUGCUGCAGGAGUCCUACACCUGAAGUCAAGGGAGCUGGGUCUGAAACCCAAACUUAAACCAACUACUACUGCUUCCUGAGAGAGCCUGGGCAGUUUUCAGCCUGGAGAGCCAGCUCUCCUCUUGCACAGGGUUAACGAUGACACAGAAAAGCACAGACUGCCUGAUUUAAUGCUACUUCCUUUCCCUAGACAUUCAGAACACCAUUAUCCACCCACCACACCCUGCAAAAAUAUGAACUGCCCCAACAGGCUGGUAGGCUGUGAAGUAUUGGUAUUUGGUAAAGUUGUUUGUAAUCUGAGUUUACAGGAGCAUUACUUAUACG